rnacentral:tRNA from 1 species
UCUCAGUGGCCCGGACGGUAGAGGAUCUGCCUGCAAUGCAGGAGACCCAGGUUUGAUCCCUGGAUCGGGAA